rnacentral:tRNA from 2 species
GGCGACAUAGCCAAGUGGCUAAGGCAUCGGACUGCAACUCCGCGAUCCCCAGUUCAAAUCUGGGUGUCGCCU